rnacentral:rRNA from 1 species
AGCGAACGCUGGCGGCAGGCUUAACACAUGCAAGUCGAGCGGGCGUAGCAAUACGUCAGCGGCAGACGGGUGAGUAACGCGUGGGAACAUACCUUUUGGUUCGGAACAACACAGGGAAACUUGUGCUAAUACCGGAUAAGCCCUUACGGGGAAAGAUUUAUCGCCGAAAGAUUGGCCCGCGUCUGAUUAGUCAGUUGGUGAGGUAAUGGCUCACCAAGGCGACGAUCAGUAGCNGGUCUGAGAGGAUGAUCAGCCACAUUGGGACUGAGACACGGCCCAAACUCCUACGGGAGGCAGCAGUGGGGAAUAUUGGACAAUGGGCGCAAGCCUGAUCCAGCCAUGCCGCGUGAGUGAUGAAGGCCCUAGGGUUGUAAGCUCUUUUGUGCGGGAAGAUAAUGACGGUACCGCAAGAAUAAGCCCCGGCUAACUUCGUGCCAGCAGCCGC